rnacentral:rRNA from 1 species
AGAGUUGAUCCUGGCUCAGGACGAACGCUGGCGGCAUGCUUCAUACAUGCAAGUCGAACGAUAAGGUCUCUUCGGAGAUACAUAAGUGGCGGACGGGUGAGUAAUAUGUAGGAAAUCUGCCCUUGAGAGGGGGACAACAGAGGGAAACUUCUGCUAAUACCCCAUAUGAGCGUACCUGAAAUGGUAUUCUUGAAAACUCCGGUGCUCAAGGAUGAGCCUGCAUCUGAUUAGCUUGUUGGCGGUGUAAUGGACCACCAAGGCGACGAUCAGUAGCUGGUUUGAGAGGAUGAUCAGCCACAAUGGGACUGAGACACGGCCCAUACUCCUACGGGAGGCAGCAGUAGGGAAUUUUGCGUAAUGGGCGAAAGCCUGAACCGCAGCAAUGCCGCGUGAACGUAGAAGCCCUUCGGGGUGUAAAGUUCUGUCAGUGGGGACGAAUUUUGACGGUACCCACAGAGGAAGCACCGGCUAACUCCGUGCCAGCAGCCGC